CCAGACUCCUACGGGAGGCAGCAGUAGGGAAUCUUCGGCAAUGGACGGAAGUCUGACCGAGCAACGCCGCGUGAGUGAAGAAGGUUUUCGGAUCGUAAAGCUCUGUUGUAAGAGAAGAACGAGUGUGAGAGUGGAAAGUUCACACUGUGACGGUAUCUUACCAGAAAGGGACGGCUAACUACGUGCCAGCAGCCGCGGUAAUACGUAGGUCCCGAGCGUUGUCCGGAUUUAUUGGGCGUAAAGCGAGCGCAGGCGGUUAGAUAAGUCUGAAGUUAAAGGCUGUGGCUUAACCAUAGUACGCUUUGGAAACUGUUUAACUUGAGUGCAGAAGGGGAGAGUGGAAUUCCAUGUGUAGCGGUGAAAUGCGUAGAUAUAUGGAGGAACACCGGUGGCGAAAGCGGCUCUCUGGUCUGUAACUGACGCUGAGGCUCGAAAGCGUGGGGAGCGAACAGGAUUAGAUACCCUGGUAGUCCACGCCGUAAACGAUGAGUGCUAGGUGUUAGGCCCUUUCCGGGGCUUAGUGCCGCAGCUAACGCAUUAAGCACUCCGCCUGGGGAGUACGACCGCAAGGUUGACACUCAAAGGAAUUGACGGGGGCCCGCACAAG
rnacentral:rRNA from 1 species